GGCAAAAUUAUUUAUACAAUAUUUUGUCAAUUGAAUAUUUAUUAUCAUAAAUUAUUUCAAACACAAAGUUUUCAUAGCGUUUUAUAAUACAUUCGAAAUUUAGAACAACAAUUGUACCACUGUGCCAGAAAUUAAGAACGCCACACAAUGCCACCGGCCACACCAUCGACACACACUGACAACACUUACACCGUUAUAUAUGCUUUACGCCAUUUACGCCACAACAACAUUUUAUACCAAACAUUUGAUUUAGUAUUACUCCAAAUUUGACGUAAUCCGUAAAACCCUACGCCGAAUAUAUCCGGCAUAACAGACGAACUUUCCACUAUGGUAGCUGGACUGCAGACUUCGUCAAGGUCAACGAUGUCAACGUCGUGCACACUUGAUAUUUUUCAAAGCAGAACAUAUCGUGAGGUGUACUUUAUAACAAUAUUUGUUCUUUAAAUGAAUCUGCCCUCAAAUCUUUAAUUUUCAUUGUUUUUAAAAUGCAUCUGUAUUGGGUCCUACUAAAUACUGCCCGGGGACGCCCGGGAGAGCCCGGGGACGCCCUGAAGCGAUCGGGAGCGUGUGAGAAC